GCCCCUUGGUACUGCCCCUGUACCGGGCUCUACUUAAACCUCCUGCAGAGCAUGUGGUUCAUCUGACUCUGGUUCCUGUGUGGUGUGUUGGAAUAAACCUCGGUGGAACUGACCACAUACAAAAGACCCUUCUGCCUCUCUUCAUUCAGCUAGCCAUGGCACAUUUGGGUGGUGCAGAGUGCUGAAAAACUGCUGAAGAAUUACAUCUUCACUGCAUGGAGAAGUCCAGAGGUGCCUUGCAGAGACAUCAUCUAUACAGAGAAUAAUUUUAAAGCAUUCCCCAUAUGAAGAUGCCGAGGAGGAAAAGGAUGGCCCCAUCCCAGCUGCCUACUGGAGUGCUUGGCCUGUUCCUGCUCUUACACCAUACCCAGGCAUUCUCUUGGAUGGGACUAGUUACAUACUGGGAUCAUUUCAGCUAUUUAACAGUGACUGGAGUGUGGCUGAAAAAUAGGGAAGAGGUUUCUGACCAGAGAAUCCACAUGUAGAACAGACAGAGUGGUCUCGGCUCAGCAUCCUAAGUGGAAAUGUUAUUGCUUAGUCAGCUACCCCUAUUCUGGAAGUCCCAUCUUUCAUGCUGAGAUAAAUCCAUUAUCCACAAAGUAGAAGACUUAUUCCGUGGGAGUGUCUACCUGGAACAGCAAAACCAGAAACGUUAAAGUAUACCUGUCUCCACUAUCACAAUCCCAGUUGGUUUAUUUUCUGCACAUACCAGUUGACUCUUUGCUUUCUUGAAAGAGUAAGAAGAAGAAGAAGUUAUUAUUUGGAAGAAGUUAUUAUUUCAGAACAGAAUCUUUGAAAAAGGAAGAAAAUUGGUAUAAUUACAGUAGAAUGACAUCCCUGACCAACUCUAGAUCAACUCUAAGUGCCACAGCAAGCUCUUUGGUCUACUCCAAGAAUGUAGCCACAAGCUUACUUUUCCCCUCAAGACUGAAAGUUGAAUCACAGUAUAUCCCAAAAUACUUUAAUGAACAAGAAUUAAAAAUUAAAUUUCAAAACCCUUGUAAGGGCAGUACAUCUCAGAUACCAGUCACUACAGACUUUUUUAGCUAACUGUGUUUUAUUUCAAAUAAUAACAGUAAUUAAAAAUACAUAUCUUAGAAGCACAAGCAGAUUACUUAAAGAACAUUUUAGGAUUAUAAAAGCACUUUUCAUUGUAUCAACCAGAUGUCAUUUCAAAUGCUACAAUUUGGAUUAAUUAACUGAGCUCAGGACACCACUAUAUUAAACCUGCUAGUUGUACUACCCAUCCUCCCUCAUAUCCUUUUGUAAUUUAUUACUAAAAUCUUGGCCAAUUAGAAAAACACAAUGUAUUAAGUAAAACAUCACACUGAACCAAUCAACAGUAAUUACUCAGACUAGGAGUAAUU